rnacentral:rRNA from 1 species
UACGUAGGGCGCAAGCGUUGUCCGGAAUUAUUGGGCGUAAAGAGCUCGUAGGCGGUUUGUUGCGUCUAUCGUGAAAACCUGCAGCUUAACUGUGGGCUUGCGGUGGAUACGGGCAGACUUGAGUUCGGUAGGGGAGACUGGAAUUCCUGGUGUAGCGGUGAAAUGCGCAGAUAUCAGGAGCAACACCGGUGGCGAAGGCGGGUCUCUGGGCCGAUACUGACGCUGAGGAGCGAAAGCGUGGGGAGCGAACAGG